ensembl:lncRNA
CAGGGUGGCGGCGUCCUCCCUAACGGAAGCAGAGCUCCGUCCGUUCUCGCAGUAAUGUGUCAUUACGUCCCACGUGAACCGGAGUCUGAUCUGAGGCCAGUCAGAGACGCGAGUCGCUUCGUCUUCAGCUGCAUAUAAACUGCUGCUGCUGCCGACAGACGACGAUCUGAGCGGCUGGAUCAACUCCAACAUCAGUUUCCCAGAGACUAUGGGUUGAGGAGGAAGUGGAAGUUUGUCGGCUUAGACCUGGUGUCAUUCCAUCAGUGUUAAACUUCCCGGCUCAUCUUGGAAGAGUACGUGCCAGAAAGACCACGACCAAGCAGCCUUGAGAUCUUAGGCAGCGUCUCCCUGAGGUCCCUCUCUAUCUCCCCACACAUCCACCAACCACUGGAACACAUCUCCAAAGUUCUGCUGGACCAGCUCAGCUUCCCCUCAGAAGAAGUGCUGCCACCUGCCAGAUGAAGGAGCCUUUUGAGAGGCAGCUGGCAUCGUGAUUGGACUGUACUUUGGUCUGUUCCAAUCCAGCUUCAGCUCCAGAGACGGCAGGCGGGACGAGUCAACGGAGGCCUGGUGGACGAAGUCAUGCAGCUGAGUACAAUCCAGAAAACAACAGAGGAGGAGGAAACAAACAUAGUAGUAUAGUAGAAAAUAUACAUCGUAGAUUGUACAAAUAACAAGUCAAAGGACAGAGACAUACAUUGUAGAAUUGUAGUAAUUGUGGCCUGACUGAUUUACUGAUUAUCAGUAUUUUAUUUUUU